GAAAUACUGGUUUGCAUAUGAUCACCAAAGUUAAGCAACAUCAAGCCAGGUCAGUAACUAGAUGGGUGACCACUUGAGAAUGUCAGGUGCUGUAAG